UACGUAGGGGGCAAGCGUUGUCCGGAUUUAUUGGGCGUAAAGAGCGUGUAGGCGGCUUUACAGGUCCGUUGUGAAAACUCGAGGCUCAACCUCGAGACGCCGGUGGAAACCGUAAGGCUAGAGUCCGGAAGAGGAGAGCGGAAUUCCUGGUGUAGCGGUGAAAUGCGCAGAUAUCAGGAGGAACACCGGUGGCGAAGGCGGGUCUCUGGGCCGAUACUGACGCUGAGGAGCGAAAGCGUGGGGAGCGAACAGG
rnacentral:rRNA from 1 species